UUUCUAUUAAUUAAAAUCUUGUUAAAAUCAAUGGAAAAUAGAAUUAGAGGCAAAUAACGUGUUCCCGAAAGGAAGGUCAAUGUUAGCAUCGCUAGCAGACGGAAGUGUUUCACCUUGCAGCGAAAGCCGGUGCAGGUCCUCGAGGAAUGCGUGGUUUGUGUUCGCUAUUGCGACGCGGUACGGAAUGCGAAAUGCAUUUCGAGGUGUGGCAUGAGGAGCAAAUGUAUCACUCACAUGCAUGGUUUGGAUCGAGCCACCUAGAUUUGCUAACUAAAUUAUUUUUUUUUUUCAUUUUUUCAGAAUGGUUUCCAAUAUCUUAGAAAAAUGUACUAAGAAAAAAGAAUUAGA